CGCGUAGGCGGGUUUGUAAGUCAGAGGUGAAAUCCUGCGGCUCAACCGUAGAACUGCCUUUGAAACUGCAAGCCUUGAGUUCAGAAGAGAGAGACGGAAUUCCAGGUGUAGUGGUGAAAUACGUAGAUAUCUGGAAGAACACCAGUGGCGAAGGCGGUCUCUUGGUCUGCAACUGACGCUGAGGCGCGAAAGCGGUGGGGAGCGAACA
rnacentral:rRNA from 1 species